AUCAGAUUUUUGAACGCAACUGGCGCUAGCUGGAACUCCAGCUAGCAUGCUUGUUUCAGUGUCUUUUUCUUUCCUAACCGAAAUCAUAAUGCGAGAGAUACCCUUCUCUUGUUAAACAUGAAAGCACUCUGCGCUCUGCGAGCGACUUUGAUUCGUCUUAGGUCGCACUCAAUGCAGCAGUCACAUUGUUUACAGUGUGAACUCAUUGAGAGUAGAGGCAGCGCGGCCUUACAGCUGCAAGUGCUUAGACACUCAAACUUUUCUUGUAUCUGAAAUCAAGCAGGACCACCCGCUGAACUUAAGCAU
rnacentral:rRNA from 1 species